UCUCUUUAAGGAAUACUAAACUGAUGCCUAAAACUUUAGAAUAUCUGAAUCGGACACAUUAAAUCGACUGCUCAUUAUGCCAGAAGGGAAACACUACUUGGAAGCACAAGAACGUUUCUGGAACUUAAAAAAGCCUUCCCUAUCUGUUCCUCCUCCUCUCUGGACUACCGGCCAGCUGAAGAUUCCAGGGCAACUGUUCUAUACACUGCUGCCUAGCAACGCUGGAAUUCCCACAUUGUGUUCCAAGCCUCACUAUGGCGCUGGUUGGUUGAUAUCAGUAAGCCCCGCCCAUCGCCGAGGAGCAGGAGCUGCACGUGGAGCAGGUGAGGGGGAGGUGGCUGUAAAGUUGCAGAUGGGAAUAUUGGGGACAAGAGAAGAUAUUGGAGGACACAGAAGGGAUUUUCGGCUGCAGGAGAAGAUUCUUUUUCGGGGUCUCAGCCAGAGAAGAACAAGUGACAUUGGUAUAAAACAUCCCAACACUCUUAGUUCUCAGUUUGGAGCGGGACCUCUUGGAACUGCGUUAUAGAAUGAAAGAAAAUUGCUCCCUGCCAAUGUUUAACCUUGAUGACGCUCCUGACCCAGUUGCCAAGGAUCAAGUAGUCUGAGAGUCAGAUUUGCUAUUAAACUCCAUGGAUCGCAGUGACGCCAAACUCAAUGGGCAGUUGGAAGCCUCAUUCCCCCGCUGUUUCCGUCAUGGUUAAAGUUACUGAUCAACUCGCAGUUCAAGAGCUCAAGUGGUCGAUGCCCGAGGAGGGCCCAACCUGAAAGCAAUGAGGAUACGUCCCAAAAAGAUCCGACCCUUUGCCUCGCGAAGGCAUCAAAGCAAGCAGGUGGCGGAGCUGAAGAGCGGUAUCUCAAGUCUAUACUGUGGAGCAUCGAGCACCUCCCCAGAGCAUUCCUUGUCCUGCAGCAAUCACUCCCAUACUGACACCGACACUGAACUCUGCAUCCAGCACCGACUCCGGCUUCUCUUUCCUACACCCCGCCUACUGGAAAAGUGACUACAGUUUGACAUUUCAGCAGCUAUCUGGUUGCUAGGGUACUGCUUAUCCUUAACAACCGCCCAUCGGUUUUAAUGAGUGGCUGGAAGGUGAAUAGGGACAAUGACCAUUUAGCCUCACAAAGCUGCUGGGGUCGGUGACCCCGUUGGGACUCUGAUAAGAAGCAGAAGACCAGUUGAAAGGUUGCUAAGAAGAGGACUUUCUAUAACAUACUUAUGGUUAAUGUAAAGCAGCACUGGCCCUUUAAAGAAGUGGAUCCCAUGGGGCAGACUGUAAUAUGUGUAAUAUUAAAUGCAUGGGGUUUACUGUACACGCCACGUUGUGCCUCAAUAUGCAGAGGGUGCCUCUAAAUAAAGGGGGGGGAGCCUUUGUUAGCAUUUAUUAAGCUAUUAUUUAUACUUCCCCUUUAUCCUGUGAACCCAAAUCCUCCUCAUUAGGGUUGGACUCAGUGUGUAUAUAUACAGUAUAUUCAGGCAGCUAUUAAUACUUCUGGAUACUGGAAGUAUGGGAGAUUUCUUUGGGGUGUAUGAGACCCCCCUGAAUCUUUUAACCGUCUAAUCUCCGUGUGAGAUUUGUGACGCUCAUGUUUGUACAUGGAUGUUUUAUAAUGAAGAUUUUGUACCUCUGUAUAGGGAUUAUUAUUCUUUCUACAAUAAACGUUAUAUACUUGUA